rnacentral:lncRNA from 1 species
CACCACUUAACUUUGCUUAAUGGAUAAUGUACCGGGAAUUUUAAAGCAUAAUAUUUAAGUAGGAUUAUGAUGCAAGUAAUUUGUUUAAUAUCUUUGUGAUUUAACCCGUUAAUUAUGAUUAGUAGAUAGAUAUUGAGUGAGCAAACCAAUCACAUUGUCUUUGUCAAGUAAAAUGAGAUAAGCCCAAGUACGGUUUUACGCGGUAGGUGUGGUUGGUGAUUUGGAUGCGAACAGGCCACGUGGACAAAUAUCUUGGUAGGUUUCAACCAUAUAAUAAUAAAAUAAAAUAAUUUGAAUUUGAAUAUAUAUCUUUGGGGAAACUCCUAAAACCCAAUCCAACCUCCCGUGGUUUCGUACUUUUUUAUUUAAGUACCUUAUGAUUUAAAGUGUAUCAAAUUAAUACUCUGUAGUUUCGCACUUUGUCACUUUAGUACCUUGUAAUUUAAAAUGUAUCAAGUUAGUACUCUGUAGUUUAUUUUUGUAUUAAGUUAGUAUCCUGUAGUUUUAUUUUUAUAUCAAAUUAGUACCCUGUGAUUUUUAAACUAUAUGGUACCAAAGUGAGAAAGUGCGAAACCACAGGGUACCAACUUAAUACACUUUAAACCACAGAGUGCUAAAGUGAAAAAGUGCAAAACCACAGAAUACUAAUUAACUUGAUACACUUUAAACCACAUGGUAUUAAAGUGAGAAAAAGUGAAACCAUAAAGUAGGUAUUUGAAGUUUUCUCUAUAUAAGAUAUAUAAUUAUUACGAUUAGUGCCUCUCCAGCUAAUAACUUAGAAUGUGUUUUCUUAUAUCGAAAUUGGACACAGAAUUCGUGGAUUUGUGUAACUCGAGAUGUGUGAGACAGUCGUCACGCAAUCGUCACGCACGAAGUCGAGUUUCGCAGAAUGGAUAAAACUCGCCGGCUUUUAUUUAUGAGAUGGAGACCAGUGUUACCGAAUAUAUAGAGUUGGAGCCGAGGGCGAAGGAAAAGCAAGCAAGCAAGCAUAGGCCUCCUAUUAUCAAAAUAAAGAUAUUUAAUAACAAUCUUAUUUGGAAUCACAAUUUUUUGGUAUUAUUAAAAAUAAGAAUUUAGUCUUUGCUGCUUAAAAGAUCUCGACAUGUAUAAUUAGUAGAAUAAAUAUAUUUGAGACUAAAAAAUAAUAUAGGUUUCUAAAUAUUCGAUCACAUUUCAAGAGUGAUUCUUAUGUAAAUUAAAUUGUCACGCUCCGGAUUACACGUUCCACGGGCACGCCGACAAAUCCGCCGUAUACAAAGGAAUUUUUUCUGUAUACGAAGCGACAACUGUAUCUGUAAACCAAAUAAUACCACAAACAGUAAUAUAGAGCUGCUAGAGUAAACAGAAGCUAAACAAACGGAGAUCCAUAUACAUAGCUCAAAAAUCAAAAUACAGAGCUACUCGCACUGGCGAGUUAAGUAUACUAUGUACAUGAACUCAAAAUAAAACAUCUACCUGCAGUAGGGUACCUUUAGCUCGGCACGUCGGAUAGUGCUCUAGCUCGUGACGCCAUUGCCUCGAUCCUGAUCUGCGAUAGCAGCAGCCGAUGACAAUGGCUCUGCAAAAAUAAUGUGUAACAAUAGGGCGUGAGAACUACUGUAAAAACAGGUAGUCCUCAGUGGGUGCCGCCCUAAACAACAUCGGUCCACCCACUAAGUCUACAGAAGGGAGCCAGGAUAAUAGUAAAUAUAGGAAUAAAAUCUACCGUUAUGAAUCACUACACUAUCAUGCUCUACACUAACCAACUGUAUGAAAUGUCAAAUCUGACCCAAUCCAAUCGGGACUGUAAGCAUACCCGUCCCUGCCCAGUUGUGACUAUCCAGCUACCUCCACACUAUUAGUUUGUGGAGAGCAAGUCCAACCGGUAUGAGCGACACCAACGCGAAAGUACAGCGCCCGUCUCCGGAGUGGCACUCGUGGGAGCUACCAAACCGAGUAUGCAGCGUAUCUCUGUCGAGCUCAAUCAGGCUCUCAAAAGCCAAAGUCCAGUAACCAACUCAAACUGGUCUAACAACCAACAGGUAACGUGCCCUCGGCACAAUUCGACGCCAAAAAGGCGAUAUGGGUCCACCGUCAACCCCGACGGCACCCAACAGUCCGGAAUAGCCUGAACGCUACUGUAAAAAUAUAAUCGGCAUCCCGGCACGAGUGUAACUGAAAGCUAAACUAUCUGGAAUACUCACUAUGAGGAUACUGUUACAGUAUGAAAUAAUACAACGGCCCCUAGGGCUAAAUCAGGUAGUUUAAAUAUAUGACGAUCAUAUUCGCGAGUUUUCUCCUAAGUUUUAUCCAAGUCCAACAUGUAUAUAUAUAUAUUCAAAGAUAAUAACUCAGCUCCAAUUCAGAUUAUUAACCAUACUAAAUCAAUGAACCGAGCAAUUGCGCCACACAAGAUAAUUCCACAAUUACAUGUUGACUAUAUAGGCACUUAGGAGUAAACCAAUGAUUAACGCACCUUAAUUGCAAAUCCCCGACGGUGAAGAAGGUCACCGGAGUCCCUGUCAAGCUCGGCGCAGCUCCCCGAACCAGCGACAACACGCUCCACGGGUCUAAACAUAGAAACCCAUAAUAAGCAUCAAUUCUGCCCAAAACAGCAGCAGCAGAAAGAAAUAGGGAUACGACCUAGCAAACCUUCACCAAAUACAGCAAAUAAGGGCUUCGUGGAUUCCUCUCGAAGUCCUGAAUCCAACGAACCAAGUCCUGUCGAAAUCCGACGUUCCUACGCCGAGUACGAGCUGAAACACUGACGGUCGACGCUGAAAAUCAGUAAAAUCAGCAUGCGAGCUCAAAACCGUGCGUUCAAGUAAUCCAAGAAGGAAAGUUAGGUACCCACAUCGACAGCAAAUCCAGCGCCGGUGCGACAUCGAGGACGGCGAAAACGCACCCUCGCCCGGCCUCCAUGUGACGCUACGGCAACAAACGUAUGCUCAAACGGCUCCGCGAUGCGACGUCGGCGACGAACGCUCCACCCAAGCUUCUCCUCCUCGCGUAUGGCUCCAGAGACAGAGAGGGAGGAAAUUUUAAUUAAGGAGGCAUGUACAACCCCC